rnacentral:tRNA from 2 species
UGCGGGUGUAGGCCAGGUCGCGGUCGUAGUCGUGCUCGCCGGUGCCGACGAUGGUGGGGGUGAUGUAGUCGCCGUUGCGCGCGGCGAUCUGCAUC